UACGAAGGGGACUAGCGUUGUUCGGAUUUACUGGGCGUAAAGCGCGUGUAGGCGGCCAGGUAGGUCUGCUGUGAAAACUCGAGGCUCAACCUCGAGACGUCGGCGGAAACCAUCUGGCUAGAGUCCGGAAGAGGAGAGUGGAAUUCCUGGUGUAGCGGUGAAAUGCGCAGAUAUCAGGAAGAAUAUCCGUGGCGAAGGCGGCUCUCUGGGACGGUACUGACGCUGAGACGCGAAAGCGCGGGGAGCGAACAGG
rnacentral:rRNA from 1 species